GUUGCCCGAACCUCUUCAUCCCCUCCACGCCCUCGACGCCGCCUCCUCCCAACCAUUGGCAUCUCCUAGCAGAGAUCCGCGUGAUGGGGUAGCCGGGGAGCGCGCGCUGUCCAGAGAGACAAGGCACCUCCCAAGCAGAGGAUCCAGCAGCGCUGGCUUCUCCUCUCCUGCGCCGCCGCUGUCCACCCCUCCUCAUCCCGUGCAAGCAUGAGCUUCUCCGGCGUCGGCGGUGGCCUGCAGUCAAAGGACGACUGCGGCGGCGCUCGAUUCGAUCUGCAGGAGAGAGAGAAGAUAUGAGGGAGAGAGAGAAGGAAGGAGAGGAAGGAUAAAGACAAAGGAAAGAGGAGAGGGAGGUGCGGCUGCGGACAUGAGAGGGCCACUGGAACGAGCACCGCUGGCUCGUCAUCCUACACAUCGCGCUGGAGAAAGAGGAGAGGGAGGUGCGGCGGCGGAUGGGAGAGGGUCACCGCAAGGAGCUCCGCUUGCUCGGGGUCGUUCACAUCGUGCUGGGGCAGAGAUACUUCUGUACAACCCUCAUGCCCUCAGAGCACACAAGUGGUUUCCCCUGAGGUCUCCUCCUUGCUCGGCUGUUCAUUAAGAUCAGCAGGGGGGAGGUUUAGGGUGACACCUUCAAGAUGGAUUUGUUGUUGUUAUUAUUUCAGUUUGCGGAUAGAGGAUGUGGUUCCAGCAAGACAAAAAUGACGGUGAUGACAAGUGAGAUUUAUGUCAAGGAGUAUUAGCAGAUGCUCACAGGAUCACUGGAAGCAUAUAAAGUGAUGAUCUGCAGGGCCGAAUUAUGCCACUGUUGAUGGUGCACAGGUCUGUUGCAUGGUAAACCCAGUAUUGGCCGUCCUUUCAAGCUCCUUUGUUCAUCCUAGAGAAAAAACUGGAAAAUACAUAUGAACUAUCUUUUAAUCUUUCUAUAGUGCAUUGCUAUGAUUACAUAUAUGGAUACAUCAUUUCGAUGUGUCAGGAGACCUAAAGCCUUUUAAGAGUUAACCACCAAACUGGGGACUGAUGUCAUAAUUGCAGAUGGGCUUUGUUCAGUUAUUUUUUUGGGGCCUAGAACGAUGAUGUUUGCAGAUGGGCUUUAUUCUGUCAUAAGAGCUUAUUGAACCAGCCUGCAUAGUUUUGUUUCUUCAGUGUACUGUGUCUGAGAAAAACAUAUGCUGUUUCCUGUUUGUUCAUGGUCGAGAUGGACGGAUUUUUGUUGUGUGGGCUGGAGGUGGAUUUCUGUUGUGUGGGCUGGAGGUUCUUGAGGUAGGGCACCAGCACCAGCUAAGCUUUCAUUCUGGUGAAAUGUAUGACAUGAUUGAUGAGCAUGCAUAUCUAUAUGGUUUUGUGGACACUGAUUUGGUUCCAUGCCAGUUUAUUUCCUGCAGUUGGUCUGUUUCUUUAUAGAGAUUUUUAUUACUAAAUUAAAUUAGAAACUGAAUGUGUACUGCUUUCACCUUCAGUUUAAACAUGACAUUGUCUUAUUUGUGAAUAGAUGAAAAUUAGCAAACAAGCUACAGUUAGUGCAUGGAUGACCAAGUUUACUUAUUACUUUAUGAAGAUGAUUCCUAAAUGGAAUUUUUGUUUGAACGGUCACCGGGGGGGAGAGCUUCCCCACCUGAAUAUAUUACCACUCAAAAGGGGGAGGUUUGAGGAUUACACGGAGGGUUACAACCAGUUUUUGUUACAAAAUCAGCUUUUAGUGGACAGCUGAGGAAAGGAAAUUGAGCCAUUGCUUAGCAAAUAAAUUGUCUUCCUUGUGUUUGAAUCUAAAAACCCAUAGAGAGAAAUCAGCAACAAUGUUACGAAUCGUGGUCCGGGUAGAGUGAUCCUCAUUUCUGAAGACUAGGGCGUUUCUUGAGUCCCAAAGUUUCCAGGAGAUAGACAGAGCGACAGAGGGCCAUAUGUUGGGGUUGAGGCCUUGGAGUGUUGGGUGUUGAAGUAGAUCAUCGAGAGAUGUUGGAGCCUGUAGUCCUAGAGAGGACCAAACUUGGGUAGCAUAAGAGCAGCUUGAAAUUAGGUGCAGGGCGUCUUCAUGAGGGUCUUGACAGCGGGGGCAUGCGGCAGACUGUGCCAUAUUCUUGUGGAACAUGUUUGCCUUUGUGUUUAGUCUGUCGCGGAGGAGUAGCCAAGCGAAGAUCUUGACUUUGAUUGGGACUUUGGAGGCCCAAGCGAGAUCACGGUGUGGGUCAGUUACGUCUUCAGCCACUAUGGAAGAGUAGGCAUUCUUGGCAGAGAAUGGCAGGCCAUGGGUGAGAGACCGCUCGUCCGGUUGGUUCACCUGCUGGAAGUCCUGCAGCAACAACAGCAUACAAUCCAGCUCUCGGGCUGCAGCAUUAGACAGACGGUUCCGCAGGUUCGCUAAUAAGCUGGUUUGCCAAACAGUAGCCACUAACACCUUGUCAUCAAUGGAGUGUGAGUAUAGGUUUGGGAAAACUUUUUGUAGUGGUGAGUGUAGUAGCCAUUUAUCAAGCCAGAAGAAGGUGGAGAGACCAUUGUAUGUGAUGACAAAGGAAUGUUCAAUUAGCAGUGGCAAGUUGCUGUUGAUAAUCUUCCAUAAAAAGGAGGGUCGUGUGGUUUUUGAAGUAAUGCCAAGAGGGUCUUGUUGGUUAUACCACAAGGUCCACGGGACGUUUGGGUGUUGUAGGGUUUUUGAAGAGAAUUUCAUGAGCAGGCAGUGGUUCUGAAUUUCAAGAUUUUUAAUGCCUAGACCACCAUAGUCUUUAGGUUUGCAAACGUUUUUCCACGCAACUAAGCAGCUCGCCCCAGUGCAGGUGGACUCGUUAGACCAGAAGAACGCCCUUCGAAUGGCAUCUAGUUUAGCUAGGAUCGAUUUUGGUAGACGGAAAACUGACAUAAAGUAGAUUGUUAAGGAGUCUAGGACCGCAGUCAGCAGUGUGAGCCUGGCGCCCCGUGAGAGAAGACGCGCUACCCAUCCAAAGAGGAAUUUCCGAAAGUUUUCUAUGAUUGGGUCAAAAGCUGUCAUGGGCAAUUUGGUAGGAGAUAGUGGAAGUCCUAAGUAUAUUAGUGGAAAGGAGGACAGAGAGCAUCCAAUGGCAGUAGCAAUGUUGUUUUGUGUGGUUGAUUCAGUAGCGAUUGUGAGGAGAGCUGUCUUAUGGAAGUUGAUCAGCAGCCCCGUAGCAAGGGCGAAGUCAUGGAGUGUUUCUUUUAGCCGCAAAGUGGCUGCUUCGCUGGCAGCAGCGAUAAUGAGAGUGUCGUCGGCGUACUGGAGUGUCACUGGCGGCUCGUUUGUUCUUAGUGGAUGGCAGAGGACAUUGGGUUGGAAAGCUCUAGCGAUUAGUCUUUGAAGCACAUCUGCUACGAUGAUGAACAGGUAAGGAGAGAAGGGGUCACCCUGGCGAAGGCCACAUCUACAUUGAAUCCAGGACCCUGAAACACCGUUGAGAAGAAUGGCCGUUUUGCCAGUGCAGAAGAUGUUUUGGACCCAACUGCAGAAUGUGUUAGGAAAACCUCGAACCUUCAGAAUUUGAAUGAGGGAGGACCAGCAUAUCGAAUCAAAUGCUUUCCUAAAGUCUAGCUUAAAAACCAUAGUCGGAGCUUUGUGUGAGUGGCACGUACUGAGAAUAUCUGCAGCAUAGAUGAAAUUUUCGGCAAUGUUGCGGCCAUGAAGGAAGCCCGUCUGGUCGUAAUGAAUGAGUAGAGGAAUGAGCGGUUUGACUCGAUUUGUGAGUAACUUGGCCACUGCUUUUGGGGUGCAGUUUUGGAGAGAGAUCGGUCUAAACGCAUCCGGAGAUGUUGGGGCUUGCGUUUUUGGUAGGAGUACCAUGAAGGCACGGUUGAAGCGCUCUAGAGAGACCGAUUGAUUUUGGAAGGCCGUGAAGAAAUCUAUGAUAGAAGGCCUGACAAUAUUCCAAUAUUUUCUGAAGAAGAUGGGUCCGAAGCCGUCAGGUCCAGGGCUGGCGUUGGUGUUCAUAGAUAAGAAGGCUUGGUGAAUUUCUUCGUGGGAGAAAGGUUGUGCUAGGUCACGUAGCUGUGGGAGGGGAGAGGAGUAUAGCUGCAGUAGGUUGAAAUUCCAUGUAGCUUGUUUUGUGGUUCCGAUCAAAUGGUUGAAAAAAUCCUUUAAGAUAAGCGCUGGAGGAGGUCGAUGCAGGGUCAAGGAGGGGCACGAGCGAGGGUCAUGCCGCACGAGGGCGCGAUGGGGUGGCCAGGGAGCACGCGGCGUCUAGCAAGAGAAGGCUUCUCCUCUUCCUGUGCCAUUGUGCACCCCUCACCGCCACCCUGCUCAUCCUCCGGUGAGCCCUCCCCAUCUCCUUUUCCUCCGCCAGCCCUUUUCUCUUCCUAACUGCUGCUCCUCCUCUGAUCUUUCCAUUUUUAGUUUCUCUUUAUGCUCCAUUUUUAGUUUCUCUUUAUGGUUUGAUUUGUUGUCUAAGAUCAGUGAAACUUGAAAGGAUGGUCGAUUGUGUAGGAUCAAUGAAACUUGAAAGAUCAGUGGAAGAAACGGAAGCAUGAUGUUCUAAGUCUGUACAUAUGUAUAACACUCGCAUUUUCAGAUGAUUGUGAAGCUUAUGGAAGAAGCAUAUCUGAAUGCUUGCUUCGAGUAUUUCUUGCUCUAAACAUGGUAACCUCUGUUAUUACAUACAAGAAGGUGCUCUUGAUUACUUCUUGGCAAAUGGUCAAUUGAUUAUUUUCUUAUGACAUAUUGUUGUUUACAUGGAACUAAAAAGAACAUUGGGUUUAUGAGAAAAUAAGAUUAGGGAAGUCACACAUGUUUAGAUCAAGGUAGCAUACAUGUAGCUUUACUUGCUAUUUUUGCAUCAUGGAUGCUGAAGUUCCUAGAGGUAAAGCAGAAAUCUUAUGUAUAGUAGUGCAAAUGUGUUGUCUGAUAGUCUUUAAAAAUUUCUUAAAGACGAAUGGUUGGACUGAUUUUUUCAAAACGUAAUAAGCACUUGUUUUCUACAGUUGGUAGCAUAUAUAUAGCUUAAGGAGAUUUCAUGCAAUAUACAUCUAAGUUGAAACUUGGGGAUCAUCUUAUAGUCGUUCACUUCUCUCUUUUUUAUUUUGUCUCAUUCCUUCAUUUAAGCAUAAGUUCAGUUUCAUUUGCUCAAGUUAGCUGCCAGUUGAACUUAUAGUUUCUUGCCUUAUAGUGUUUAUUGCAUAAUCCUUUUUUCCUUCUCUUUUCAAAGCAAGGACCAGGCUACGAACAUAUGUUUAUAAUGCAGUUCUUUCACUGUGUACUGCAUAGUAUCUUAGCUAGGUCUCUCUGGGCAAGUGUAGUUUGCCUGCAGGUAUGACAUGUGUUUGAAUAUAAUCCUUUUCUUGCUUUCUCUUUUCAAAGCAAGGACCAGGCUGGCAGGCUGGCAACAUAUGUUUAUAAUGAAAUUCUUUCAUUGUAGACUGCAUAGUAUCUUAGCUAGGUCUCUCCAGCAUGCUACCAAAAAAGGAAUGCUAUUGCUUAUGUUCUCUGAUCAACUGUACCUUGAAUCCUCGAUUUUGUAAUUCUCUAAAGAAUCAUCCAGCACAAACUCUGUUCUUUGAAGAAUUGUACCUGAUA